rfam:Schistosoma margrebowiei strain Zambia genome assembly, scaffold: SMRZ_scaffold0000028
AUCCGGCUGAUGAGUUCCAAAUGGGACGAGACGCGCAUCCUGGAU